CUUGCAUAUUAAUUGAUUGCUGUAGAAGAACAUGCAGUAUUUUGAACGUGUGAGGAAACAUUUUAGGGCUUGAAGUGUACAUUUUGUCCCACAGAAAAGUGGAGGAUCUGCAGUUCCGUGUAGAGGAAGCUUGCAUUACCAAAGGUGACCUAGAGACGCAGACCAAACUGGAGCAUGCCCACAUUAAGGAGCUCGAACAAAGUCUUCUCUUUGAAAAGACCAAAGCAGACAAACUCCAGAGGGAGUUAGAGGAUACUAGGGUGGCCACGGUGUCCGAGCGCUCCAGAAUCAUGGAGCUGGAAAAGGAAGUGUCCGACCUGCAUCUUCAGCUGAGAACUCUCCGGGCCGAGACCGCGGGAUCAGCCUCACCUCCAUUACAAGACAAAAAGAUCAAGGAGUUGAACUUUGAGUUAGAGGAUAGACAGAAGGAAGUUCUCCUAUUCCAGCAGAAACUUGCCUCCUCUGAACAGGAUAGAACAUGCCUCCAGCAGCAGCUGCAAGAUCUGAAACAGAAACUCGACACAGCAGCAGAGGACAAUAAUAAAGCAACACUAGCCAUGCAAGCAUGAACCGCUUUGCGCCAUCGUUUUU
rnacentral:lncRNA from 1 species